UACGAAGGUCCCAAGCGUUGUUCGGAAUCACUGGGCGUAAAGGGAGCGUAGGCGGCGUGGUAAGUCAGAUGUGAAAUCCCGGGGCUCAACCCCGGAACUGCAUCCGAUACUGCCGUGCUUGAGGGUUGGAGAGGUAACUGGAAUUCUCGGUGUAGCAGUGAAAUGCGUGGAUAUCGAGAGGAACACUCGUGGCGAAGGCGAGCUACUGGACAACAUCUGACGCUGAGGCUCGAAGGCUAGGGGAGCAAAAGGG
rnacentral:rRNA from 1 species